rnacentral:lncRNA from 1 species
AUCUCUGCAGCGAAUCUUUGGCUUUAAAAGAUGCCAAAGCUGGACUGUCCAUAAGGUAUACAAAAGGAAAUUGUAUUAUUUACAAGUCAUCUUUUAGUUUUAAUAUGUGGUGAAACAUUUCCAGAUUCCUUUCCUUGAAUUAGCCCAGCAACCUCUUUUAUUGGGUCCAAGAAAGGUGCGGUGGGGACUCCAGCCUCUGCUCGGACAUCUUUGGUUACAUGCUGCCUCCUGGCGGCGGCUCUACGGCCUGACACCUUCCAGCCGGUGGGGGAGACCACUUGCUUUAAUUUGGGAUCUCGAAGCUGACGCAACAGCUUCCCCGAGGGGGCGGAGAGUUGAAUCGCCCUUCCGGGAGACCCCCUCCCCUGGCUCCUAGCGGGAACGUCUCCCUCCCUUCCCCCACGGGGCUUUGCGGUCCAGAGUCCCUCUGGAGUUUCAGCCGAAAACGUCUCGGGGCUGGAGGCAGGGCUGCCAGGGUUUGGGGCUCUCGCCCAGACCCACCUUGGGCCGACGAGCUCGAGCUGGAUUGGGAGGGAGGGAAGAGGAAGCUGAGCGCUCGUGGGGCGGAGGACGCCUCUAAGGACCGGCCACCUGAGCUGGGUGUGGGACUGCAGCACAGAGCUUCCGAUCGAUCGGGGAAGGCGCGUUAAUGAGGUGCUUUUUGUCUUUGUUUUCCCAUUGAUGAAACAGAAAGUCCCUUUCAAACCAUUCUAGGCCUCCCAGUAAAACUGAGAAAACUAUACUUUUUCCUUCCCUUCAACCCAUUACUAUCAAAAAGAGCAGAUACUUUUCAAAGUUGCUUGGGAGCCAGGCCAGCAGCAGCAUAGGAGGGCCUGAAGAGCAAGUGCAAGACAUUCCCGGAGUUCAACUUGGAAACCAGUCUAGGAAGAAAGGCAUCAUUCAUCCAGUUAUUCUUCCAGCAAACCCUUUUUUGUCUACACGGACCCUGCGCUGGGGGUACCGGUGAAUGAAGACGCUCUGGUGGGGCUGCGUUCUAGUGGGGGAAGCGACAACAAACAAACUCCAGGUGGUAGCCAGUGCCUUUGAAGAAAAGUCAGGCAUGGUGAAGGGGAUGGAGAUUGGCUGAAGGAAGAAGCUACUCCUUCAGAGACUCCUCAGGGAAGGUCUCUUGAGAGUGCGGUUUAAGCACACUGAAUGGAAUGAGUGAGAGAAGGAGCAAUAUCAUGGGGAAGAAUGUUCCAGGCCAAGGGAACAGCAAAUGCAGACGCCUUGAGAUGUCAGGGCUUGUGUGGCAACAGCAAGGGGGGCCAGCAUGGCUGGAGUGAGGGGAGGAAAGUAGGGGCCAGUGUCAACAGGGGCAGCCUUAGGACUGUCUUCCUAGCAUUUCCCUCAUUUACAACUUGUACCUGAAUCCAGGGUGGGAUUAAGGUGCAGGCCAGCUGGGCAAGCAGCCUGGGUCUAAAAGAGCACUGAAUUAUCCUGGAGUAAUUCAGACUUUUGGAGCCAAUGAGCUCUGAUUUCUGUCUGUUGGUGAAGUGUAAGUUGGCUCCCUUCCACUGAAGAAUCCUUGAUGACUGCUUACCUAGACCACCUGUCUCUAGAAUAAUUGUUAAACAUGCAGGUACAGGUAUUAAUACAAGUUGCCUAAAGGCAGUGGUCACAGCUGGAAUUUGGAAAAUGCUGCACCUCGCUGUGAAGUGCCACUCCCUGAGACUUGUGCUAUUGUCUACAUUCAAAAUCAUUUGAUAUGCCUACCAAGAAACUGCUUCAGAAAACUGCAUGUAAUGAAUUCAUGCCUUAAACUCUACUCUUGAAUAGAAAGAAUGAGGCUUCCAAUUUUUAUUCCGUCGGUAUUCCCCCACUUCUGCUAAGUAAACAUUCAACAGAUAUUUAAAUAAUCUUGGUUUGAGGGGGUGCCAACUCAUUAGAUUGCCCAGGGUGCCAGGGCUUACUCUGGUCCACUUGCCUGGCUCUUACCUGGGUUGCCACGUAUCACCUGAACCAGUUGGGGACCUGUGGUGUGAGUAGGUUUGCUUAGUGUUUGGGUGUGUGCGUGGCUGUGCCCCCUACAACUGACCUUCCUUGGCAUGUGUUGCCUUACAUAGGGAUUGAAGUGGCUGAGGCUUUUGAGAUGGGAGCACAGAGUUCUAAUGCCCUAACCAUGGAUCUUGUGCCUUCCACAGGACCAAGGAUAGUAUGUGAGUGGGAGUUGAGCAGGGAAUGGAAUGAGGGGCUCGGGGAGUUGUAAAGGGCAUCAAGGGGCUUCCCUGGUGGCUCAGUGGUAAAGAAUCCACCUGCA